GACGGAGGGGGCUAGCGUUGUUCGGAAUUACUGGGCGUAAAGAGCGUGUAGGUGGUUUAACAAGUUGGGCGUGAAAGCCCGGGGCUUAACCUCGGAAUUGCUUUCAAAACUGUUAGGCUAGAGUGUAGUAGGGGAUGAUGGAAUUCCUAGUGUAGAGGUGAAAUUCUUAGAGAUUAGGAGGAACACCGGUGGCGAAAGCGGUCAUCUGGGCUACAACUGACACUGAGACGCGAAAGCGUGGGGAGCAAACAGG
rnacentral:rRNA from 1 species